UACGUAUGGUGCAAGCGUUAUCCGGAUUUACUGGGCGUAAAGGGAGCGCAGGCGGCGCGCCAAGUCUGAUGUGAAACCCCGGGGCUCAACCCCGGGCAUGCAUUGGAAACUGGCGGGCUGGAGUGCCGGAGAGGUAGGCGGAAUUCCUAGUGUAGCGGUGAAAUGCGUAGAUAUUAGGAGGAACACCAGUGGCGAAGGCGGCCUGCUGGACGAUGACUGACGUUGAGGCUCGAAAGCGUGGGGAGCAAACAGG
rnacentral:rRNA from 1 species